rnacentral:rRNA from 1 species
GUGGGGAAUAUUGGACAAUGGGCGCAAGCCUGAUCCAGCCAUGCCGCGUGAGUGAUGAAGGCCCUAGGGUUGUAAAGCUCUUUCAGUGGGGACGAUAAUGACGGUACCCACAGAAGAAGCCCCGGCUAACAUCGUGCCAGCAGCCGCGGUAAUACGAAGGGGGCUAGCGUUGUUCGGAUUUACUGGGCGUAAAGCGCACGUAGGCGGAUCGUUAAGUCGAGGGUGAAAUCCUGGAGCUCAAAUCCAGAACUGCCUUCGAUACUGGCGAUCUUGAGUGCGGAAGAGGUGAGUGGAACUCCUAGGGUAGAGGUGGAAGUCGUAGAUAUUAGGAAGAACACCAGUGGCGAAGGCGGCUCACUGGUCCGGUACUGACGCUGAGGUGCGAAAGCGUGGGGAGCAAACAGGAUUAGAUACCCGAGUAGUCC